rnacentral:tRNA from 1 species
GCCUGGGUGGCUCAGUCGGUUGAGCAUCCGACUUCGGCUCAGGUCAUGAUCUCACAGCUCGUGGGUUCGAGCCCCACGUCGGGCU